UGGUCAACCCUGUGCAAGCAUUGGGGUUGGGUUGUAGUGAAGUACGCAAUCCUAUAAGCUGAGAUGUGAUGCGGACCGAAAUUUCAGUAGGGAAGCGAGUGAGUUCACGCUGGCGAGAAAAGCUGCUAGUACAUCCAAAGGUACCCGUACCGGAAACCGACGCAGGUGGGCGAGGAGAGUAUCCUGAGACGAACGGGAGAACCCUUGUUAAGGAACUCGGCAAGAUGACCCCGUAACUUCGGGAUAAGGGGUGCCUGCGAGAGCAGGCCGCAGAGAAUAGUCACAAGCGACUGUUUAGCAAAAACACAGGUAUCUGCGAAAGCGAGAGCUGACGUAUAGGUGCUGACACCUGCCCGGUGCUGGAAGGUUAAGGGAACAUGUUAGAGCAAUCGAAGCAUCGAACCGAAGCCCCAGUAAACGGCGGCCGUAACAAUAACGGUCCUAAGGUAGCGAAAUUCCUUGUCGGGUAAGUUCCGACCCGCACGAAUGGUGUAACGACUUGUGAGCUGUCUCAACAGGGGGCCCGGUGAAAUUGAAGUAUGGGUGAAGAUGCCCAUUACCCGCGACUGGACGGAAAGACCCCGUAGAGCUUUACUGCAGCCUGAUAUUGAGUUUCGGUAACUGAUGCACAGGAUAGGUGGGAGUCUGAGAGACACGGGUUUCGGCUCAUGUGGAGACGGUGUUGGGAUACCACUCUUCGGUUACUGAAAUUCUAACAUUGCUCUGUGAAACCAGAGGAUGGACAGUGUCAGGUGGACAGUUUGACUGGGGCGGUCGCCUCCGAAAGAGUAACGGAGGCGCCCAAAGGUACCCUCAGAAUGGAUGGAAACCAUUCGAAGAGCGCAAAGGCAGAAGGGUGCCUGACUGCGAGAUUGACAAAUCGAGCAGAGACGAAAGUCGGGCUUAGUGAUCCGGCGGUAUUGAGUGGAAAAGCCGUCGCUUAACGGAUAAAAGCUACCUCGGGGAUAACAGGCUGAUCUCCCCCAAGAGUCCACAUCGACGGGGAGGUUUGGCACCUCGAUGUCGGCUCGUCGCAUCCUGGGGCUGAAGCAGGUCCCAAGGGUUUGGCUGUUCGCCAAUUAAAGCGGCACGCGAGCUGGGUUCAGAACGUCGUGAGACAGUUCGGUCCCUAUCCAUCGUGGGCGUAGGAGUCAUGAGAGGAGCUGUUCCUAGUACGAGAGGACCAGAAUGGACGCACCACUGGUGCAACUGUUGUCGUGCCAACGGCAUAGCAGGGAAGCGAGGUGCGGAUGGGAUAAACGCUGAAGGCGUCUAAGCGUGAAGCCCACCUCAAGAAUAAGACUCCACAAUAGACCCCUGGAGGACUACCAGGUAGAUAGGUCAUCGGUGGAAGCGCUGUAAGGCGUGUAGCUUGAUGAUACUAAUCGGUCGAAAGCUC
rnacentral:rRNA from 1 species